ACUCCUACGGGAGGCAGCAGUGGGGAAUAUUGCACAAUGGGGGAAACCCUGAUGCAGCCAUGCCGCGUGUGUGAAGAAGGCCUUCGGGUUGUAAAGCACUUUCAGCGAGGAGGAAAGGUUAGUAGUUAAUACCUGCUAGCUGUGACGUUACUCGCAGAAGAAGCACCGGCUAACUCCGUGCCAGCAGCCGCGGUAAUACGGAGGGUGCGAGCGUUAAUCGGAAUUACUGGGCGUAAAGCGCAUGCAGGCGGCCUGUUAAGUCAGAUGUGAAAGCCCGGGGCUUAACCUCGGAAUUGCAUUUGAAACUGGCAGGCUAGAGUCUUGUAGAGGGGGGUGAGAAUUUCAGGUGUAGCGGUGAAAUGCGUAGAGAUCUGAAGGAAUACCAGUGGCGAAGGCGGCCCCCUCGAGC
rnacentral:rRNA from 1 species